AUCUACCUUCAGGACGGGGACAACAGCUGGAAACGGCUGCUAAUACCCGAUAUGCCGAAAGGUGAAACGUUGUUUCGCCUGGAGAGGAGCUCGCGUCCGAUUAGCUAGUUGGUGGGGUAAAAGCUUACCAAGGCGACGAUCGGUAGCUGGUCUGAGAGGAUGAGCAGCCACACUGGAACUGAGACACGGUCCAGACUCCUACGGGAGGCAGCAGUGGGGAAUUUUCCGCAAUGGGCGAAAGCCUGACGGAGCAACGCCGCGUGGGGGAAGAAGGUUUUUGGAUUGUAAACCCCUUUUCUCAAGGAAGAACAAAAUGACGGUACUUGAGGAAUCAGCCUCGGCUAACUCCGUGCCAGCAGCCGCGGUAAUACGGAGGAGGCAAGCGUUAUCCGGAAUUAUUGGGCGUAAAGCGUUCGUAGGCGGCUGUUCAAGUCUGCUGUCAAAGACCGAGGCUCAACCUCGGGUCGGCAGUGGAAACUGGAUAGCUAGAGGUCGGUAGGGGCAGAGGGAAUUCCCAGUGUAGCGGUGAAAUGCGUAGAUAUUGGGAAGAACACCGGUGGCGAAAGCGCUCUGCUGGGCCGAACCUGACGCUGAGGGACGAAAGCUAGGGGAGCGAAU
rnacentral:rRNA from 2 species